AGCUUGAAGAUAUUUAUUUCAAGUUGAACCUGCCCAGUGUUGUUUAAUAAAAUGGCCGCGGUACUUUGACCGUGCUAAGGUAGCGCAAUCAAUUGGUUUUUAAUUGGAGCCAGGUAUGAAUGGAGUUACGGAGUUUUUCUGUCUCCUAGCUAAUUUAUUGAAGUUACUUUGUAGGUGAAAAAGCCUAUAAAAAGAAAAAAGACGAGAAGACCCUUAGAGUUUUUUUUCAAAGAAGUUUUGUUGGGGCAACAUGGGAACAAAUUUCCAUCUACCGAUCAUAUUAAAUUUGAAUAAACUACCUUAGGGAUAACAGCAUAAUUUUAUAAAUAAGUUUGUGACCUCGAUGUUGGACUGGGAAACUGGAAGGCUAGCCGCCUUUCAGGUGAGUUCUGUUCGAACUAUUAUUCCC
rnacentral:rRNA from 1 species